GAUGAACGCUGGCGGCGUGCCUAAUACAUGCAAGUCGAGCGAACAGACGAGGAGCUUGCUCCUUCGACGUUAGCGGCGGACGGGUGAGUAACACGUAGGUAACCUACCUAUAAGACUGGGAUAACUUCGGGAAACCGGAGCUAAUACCGGAUAAUAUUUCGAACCGCAUGGUUCGAUAGUGAAAGAUGGCUUUGCUAUCACUUAUAGAUGGACCUGCGCCGUAUUAGCUAGUUGGUAAGGUAACGGCUUACCAAGGCAACGAUACGUAGCCGACCUGAGAGGGUGAUCGGCCACACUGGAACUGAGACACGGUCCAGACUCCUACGGGAGGCAGCAGUAGGGAAUCUUCCGCAAUGGGCGAAAGCCUGACGGAACAACGCCGCGUGAGUGAUGAAGGUCUUCGGAUCGUAAAACUCUGUUAUUAGGGAAGAACAAACGUGUAAGUAACUGUGCACGUCUUGACGGUACCUAAUCAGAAAGCCACGGCUAACUACGUG
rnacentral:rRNA from 1 species